rnacentral:rRNA from 1 species
AAUAGAUACCCGGGUAGUCCACCCCGUAAACGUUGGGAACUAGUUGUGGGGUCCAUUCCACGGAUUCCGUGACGCAGCUAACGCAUUAAGUUCCCCGCCUGGGGAGUACGGCCGCAAGGCUAAAACUCAAAGGAAUUGACGGGGACCCGCACAAGCGGCGGAGCAUGCGGAUUAAUUCGAUGCAACGCGAAGAACCUUACCAAGGCUUGACAUAUACGGGAACACUCUGGAAACAGAGGAUUCUUUGGACACUCGUAUACAGGUGGUGCAUGGUUGUCGUCAGCUCGUGUCGUGAGAUGUUGGGUUAAGUCCCGCAACGAGCGCAACCCUCGUUCUAUGUUGCCAGCACGUUAUGGUGGGAACUCAUGGGAUACCGCCGGGGUCAACUCGGAGGAAGGUGGGGAUGACGUCAAAUCAUCAUGCCCCUUAUGUCUUGGGCUUCACGCAUGCUACAAUGGCCGGUACAAAGGGCUGCAAUACCGUGAGGUGGAGCGAAUCCCAAAAAGCCGGUCCCAGUUCGGAUUGAGGUCUGCAACUCGACCUCA